UGUAGUCUCGCACAGAUGCAUAUCAAUAAGCGGAGGAAAAGAAACUAACAAGGAUUCCCCUAGUAACGGCGAGUGAAGCGGGGAAGAGCUCAAAUUUGAAAUCUUAAAGGGUUUCCCUUUACGAAUUGUAGUUUAAAGAAGUGUUUUCUGUUGAGGUUUUGGUAAAAGUUCUUUGGAAUAGGACAUCAUAGAGGGUGAGAAUCCCGUAUUUGACCUUUACUUUCAACUUUGUGAUACACUUUCAAAGAGUCGGAUUGUUUGGGAAUGCAGUCCAAAAUGGGUGGUAAAUUUCAUCUAAAGCUAAAUAUUGGCGAGAGACCGAUAGCGAACAAGUACCGUGAGGGAAAGAUGAAAAGAACUUUGAAAAGAGAGUUAAACAGUACGUGAAAUUGUCAAAAGGGAAGCGUUUGACACCAGUGUUGUUUUUCUGAAAAUCAAUUAAAGAACUGUUUAUGCUAAGCUGUUUAGACUUUAUCAGCUAACUGUUUAGUUUUGAGCUUUUCUUUAAUGCACUUUUCAGUUAACAAGUCAACAUCAAUUUCUUUUGCUGUAAAAAAGCUUGAGGAAGGUGGCUUGAGAUUCGUCUUAAGUGUUUAUAGCCUCUUGCCUAUGCAGUCGGAGAGAUUGAGGUCUGCAGCGUAGAUCCUUCGGGGCUAAAUGCAUUUGUGCUAAGUUAUAGCAUUUUAUAGACAACUUGUUGACUAUGAUUUGUCUUGUAGCUUCACUCGCUUAUGUUAUUUUACCUACGCUUAGGAUGUUGAGCGCAUGUCUCUCUCU
rnacentral:rRNA from 1 species